rnacentral:rRNA from 1 species
CUACGGGCGGCAGCAGUGAGGAAUAUUGCACAAUGGGGGGAACCCUGAUGCAGCAACGCCGCGUGGAGGAUGACGCAUUUCGGUGUGUAAACUCCUUUUAUAUGUCAAGAAAAUGACGGUAGCAUAUGAAUAAGCACCGGCUAACUCCGUGCCAGCAGCCGCGGUACUACGGGAGGGUGCAAGCGUUACUCGGAAUCACUGGGCGUAAAGGACGCGUAGGCGGGUUGGAAAGUCAGGUGUGAAAUCCUACAGCUUAACUGUAGAACUGCACUUGAAACUUCUAAUCUAGAGUAUGGGAGGGGGAGAUGGAAUUAGUGGUGUAGGGGUAAAAUCCGUAGAUAUCACUAGGAAUACCUAAAGCGAAGGCGAUCUCCUGGAACAUUACUGACGCUAAGGCGUGAAAGCGUGGGGAGCAAACAGGAUUAGAUACCCCAGUAGUC